UAAUCACAGGACAGUGUGUGAAUGUUUGAUCAUGUGAACUUAUUCAAGAAUAUUGGUGUGCUGAGUACCUGUAUUUUUACUCUAAAGGUCUCUAAAUAGCUUCAUAGUGAACCAAAGAAAAGUGAGAACAGAUGAAAAAGAGUGAGAAGUGAAGAGUGAACAGAAAAAAAGAAGAAUGAAGAGGUGAAGAGUGAACUGAUAAAGAAGAGAAAGGUAAAGGGUGAACAGAAGAAGCGUAAGGACGUGAAGAGUGAACAGAUGAGUGAGAAGUAAAGAGUGGACAAAAGAAGAGUGAGUGAAAAGUGAAGAGCGAACAAAAAGAAGCGUAAGGAGGUGAAGAGUGAAGAGAGAAAGGGGAGUGAAUAGAGUGGUAUUGGAGCUUUAGUUCAGGUGCUAAACAUAAGACCAUUCUAGAAGCCUGCAGUGGUCUGGGACCCAUUAAAUCCUACCCACGCCUGUGCUUCUCCUCCAGCCUGAGCCAUAGCACUGCAGAGCGCGUGUUUCACUGUGAAAUCUGCAACGUCCAAGUAAACUCUGAGCCCCAGCUCAAACAGCAUAUAUCCAGCAGGAGACACAGAGAGGCAGCAGCUGGAAAGUCAAGCCCACACUCAAUCCGACACAAGAACCUCAGCUCAUCAGAGCUCAUGUCAACUGUCUUGUUCUCUAAGGAUCUGCCAAAAUCCCUAGCUUAUGGCUUUUUUCCAGAUCACAUGUCAGUCACUGCAGUGAUGUCAGACCCUUCAUCCAGUCAGCUUCCUGUCUGCACUAUUGGAAUGUCCCAAAACCUAUAUCUCCCAAUUAUUCACAUAACACAGUUUAAUCACGCCCGCCUACGACCUGCUGCCAGAACAAUUAUUUCCUCCUACAGGCAGCUCCCGUUCUCUCCUUAUUGAGUGUGUUUACAUGGUAAUUUUCUGAUUUUCCCAGUUACACAGGAUAUUGUUAGCUUAUAAUGAUAAUCCUUUGUUUUUCUACAUACAGGGGUUGGACAAUGAAACUGAAACUGGAGGUUUCAUGGCUAAAUUGGACAAGGCUGGGGGUCCAAUCUUCAUUAAUUGCACAUUGCACCAGUAAGAGCAGAGUGUGAAGGUUCAAUUAGCAGGGUAAGAGCACAGUUUUGCUCAAAAUAUUGCAAUGCACACAACAUUAUGAGUGACAUACCAGAGUUCAAAAGAGGACAGAUUUU